AAGUCGUAACAAGGUUUCCGUAGGUGAACCUGCGGAAGGAUCAUUAACGAAAGUCCGAAAGGACUCUCUACCAAACCAACCCACCCACCCUUUGUGCACCUUUGCCGUGAGCCGGUACGGGGCCUCGUGCCCCGGAAGGCUCGCGUCUUUCACAUACCCACUAUACAAGUCACAGAAUGUACACCGCGUUUAAUCGCACGAAUACAACUUUCAGCAACGGAUCUCUUGGCUCUC
rnacentral:misc_RNA from 1 species